AUUAUUUGCUAACCAUUGUAGAAUUGAGGACUCUGCUGAACAUUGAGAAAAAAUACCGUAUUGGGAGAAGAUGGCAAGAGUCUGAUUCAAACUUCCAGUCUACCCUUAAAGAUGUGGACCGUGAGCUCAGAGUCCAACUUCAAGGCUAGAACUGAAUCAAGGGAGAGAGCAGUCCUCCUCCACCUGAGAAGAAUAUAUCCAGCUUUGCUUCAGAUGGGCAGGGCAUUGCCAUUAGACUCUCCAAGCAGGUAGCCAGCUCCAACAAUAGACUGAGACAGGCAACAAAAGAAUACAACAGCAUUCAAUGGUCACCGCAGAUGAGCUUCUUACCUGCGACAAUUGAUUUUCAGGAAUCAUGUGAUCCCUCUUGGCAUGUCUACUUCUGCUUUGAUGACACUAUUGAAGAAGAUGAUGUUUCGAGGAGGCGAGGGAUUGAUGCCUUACAUAUGAAGACUCAUGCAAAAGCUGCUCUCAUUCAACACCUCCAACAGCUGGAAAGAAAACUACAUCAAGCCAUUGUGAUGUUUCACCCACAUGUAUCAGACUUUGUUCCUGCAGACAACCCCCACUUGUGUCAGGCCCUCCCCAUGCCAAGCAUACAGACACUGGUAUACAAUGAUAAGAGUGAUAAUGACAAUGUGGAUAAAUAUGUUAACUAGCACUACAGAUUUUUUUUUAAUUUCUAGUCUGAUAUUGUAUUCUGUAAAAAGAAUGAUGUAAAAUGUAUAGUAUAUGUUGCAGCAUAUCAUAGAAACCUUGGUGGUGUAAUAUAAUGUUUGCCUUACUUGUGCAAACAUGAUGUUUUACUAGAUCUGAUUUAUUUUUAAACGUAGUUACUGUUUUUAAGCACACAUAUUCACACUAGUCUGUGUGAGGACAAAAUUGUGUGUUUACCAUUGUGAUGUUACUUAUUUACUGUAAUGUACAAAUGUGGUCAAUGUGUGUAAGGUGUUUUGUUUUUGUGUGCUAAGUUGAAAUGACAAAGUAUUGAAUCUUGAAUCCUUUG